ACAACUAAAUCUCAUCAAUUAAAAGAACCAAAGUGAUAAUAAAGAAUAAAAGACAAAGAAUGGCCAAUGGUGUACAAUUGUUCAUCACUUUUGUGAUGAUCUCCAUGUUAAUACCAACAGAAACGGUAGGAGCGAGGAGGCCUUUGAUUAAGGGGCGACUGGUUUUCCUGCUACCACCUGCAAACGUAGCUUUUGCGGUUGGUAGCGGUUGUCGGCGGUUUGCAACAAUCACUCAAAUCGCUCUAAACCGCUUCAAACCGCUCUGAACCUCAUAAAUUCAAAAGCUGGCUCCAGCUAGCGUUUGCGGUUGCGGUUGCGAGCGGUUGCGGGAGGGUAAAUUUUUUUUUUAUUUUAAACAAUAUAUAUACAAAAAG